AGCAUAAUCAUUUGCCUUUUAAUUGGAGGCUGGUAUGAAUGGGUACACGAGGGCCUUGCUGUCUCAUUAAUAUAAAUAUAAAUUAGUUUUCAGGUGAAGAGACUUGAAUGUAGUAAAAAGACAAAAAGACCCUGUGGAGCUUUACUUUGUGCAUGUAUUUAUUUUUGGUUCAUAAGUUUUUAGAUGUUUAUAGGUUCAGUUGGGGCGACUAAGGAAGAGUAUAAAUCUUCCUUUUAUAGUAAGAAAUUGGUUCGUAGUAGGAGAUCCACAUUAGUGAAUAUAGAAUUAGCUACCCCAGGGAUAACAGGCUUAUUUUCUUUGAGAGUUCAAAUCGACAAGAAAGAUUGGCACCUCGAUGUUGGCUUAAAGUAUCUUUUAGGUGUAGCAGCCUUUAAAGUGGGUUUGUUCAACCUUUAAAA
rnacentral:rRNA from 1 species